rnacentral:rRNA from 1 species
UACAGCCAUACCACCCUGAACGUGUCUGAUCUCGUCUGAUCUCGGGAGCUAAGCAGAGUCGGGUCUGCUUAGUACUUGGAUGGGAGAAGUGUACAAAUAAAUAUAUCGUUCCCACAUUAGAAGGGAACAUUGAAC